GGGAGAGAAAGACGCGGGUACUCAAUACAUAUUUGGCAACACUGGGUUGCAUACCAUUAAAUUAUAAAAUAAAUUUUACCGAGAGAAAUAAUAUUUUAAGUACUGUUGUAAGACAAGGAGCUACAUACGCUAUCCUUGUCUAAUCUCCUAAGGAAUUUACUCGACGCGUCUUAGUACAUAUGCACCCAAAUGCCGUGACGGGCGCCGAAUAUAUUCAACUUAUUAUAACAAUCACUCAGGUUCAAUUAUUUAUCAAUUAUUUAUCGCGAUCUACUCUAUUGAAGGACCAGCGAUAGCCGAUGCAACAAAUGACGAUACAAUUGACUUACCGGCGUUGAUAACAAUUUACUUCUGGAACUUUUGGUUAAUAAAUAUCACAUGAACUUUAUUUUUACUUUAGUAUAAAAAAAUUCUAAUUAUCCAAAUUAAAUGAACUUUAACUAUUUAAUAACUUUAUUACGGCAACUGGGCCAGAACAAUUUACUCAAAAAUGAUCACGGACAACAAUACGUCUUAUCUUUACAAAAUCCCGGUCUUCUCUCCUUAUUUUUCGUUGAUUUUUCCGAGGGAGGGGUAUCACUCCCGUGUUAUCCCCUCUCAUGACCUUGGACCCGAAAUUUUCAAUUAAAAUAAAAUAUUUAAAAUCAUUAAACGACCUGAGUUAUGUUAUAAUAAUAAAUUAAAUAAUAUUUCCUAUUUAUCAACAUAAACAUAAUAAUUAUUAACCCUUUAAACGAUAGAAUAAUAAUUAUUUCAGUGCACCACGUGGCUGGAGAAAAAUAUUGAUUUUUAUCCCCACUACAUCGACUUACUCUCCCUUCGGUCGAUAUUUAUAUGUAUGCUCUACACACACGCGUGCUACUGACUGGAAUGAAAAUAUCGAUUAAGUACAUAAAUUCAAAAUAAUUAUCAAAACAUAUAUAUAAACAUAAUAAACAAUAAUAUCAAUAAAUUCAUAAUUAAAUCACAUUAAAAUAAUCUAUCAAAAUAAUAUAAAUAUUUAAAUAAUAAUAAAUUAUAAUAAAUAAAUAGGCUUGAUUUGAGCUAGGAGGUGUUGUUAAAUUCACGGCGAGAUGGACAAGCGCGUGCAGCGAUUCACGUUUGAAUCGCUACGUGACACACUAAAGAAAAAAAGAUAUGGCCGUUCGGUGGCCCUGCGGGCCAGCCCCAAAACUUCCCGCUGUCUUCGAGUUCGAGUAGCUCGAAAACAUUACUGUGAAUAUAGUUUUGAGCUCUUCGAGCUCGAAAAUAAUAUUGCAUGCAAUUGUUUCCCGCAUGAAAAAAGUAUAUAGGUGAAAAGUAUAUCUCAAAUUCUGCCCUGUUAUGACAAAUGUUACGUCUAACAUGCAAUAAAGACAAAUAUCAUGAACAGUCUCUUAUUUCGAGUCAAGACAGUUAAGUCCUUUACUCUUGUGACGGAGACCUCGUCGUUACGGUAAUGAGUAUGAGGAAUAAGAUCAAUAUGGAGAAUUAUUCUAGAGAAAUAAUAAUAAAAACGACUGGAUAACUUACAAUUGUUAUUUAUAAAAUUUAUUCAGCUUCCGUUGUACAAAUUGAUGGUUGUUGUUGUUUGGAAGAUCUUUGAUUUUCUUUGUAAAUUGUAUAGUGUACCGGGCAAGGAACCCAUAUUCAACGUCUGCUCAGUCAGUACCCCUGGGUGGAUGUGGUUUGGCAGUAUACUGAGAGUUGAGAACCGUGCGGAAUAAUUUCUUUAACGCGACGCGUGGUACAACAAAUAUUACGACGGAGUUUUUAGCUUAGCUGAGAUUAAAAGACUGGACAAUUAGACCGAAAAACUGCGGGUUUAUAUAGUCCGAAAUCGAGGGGAACCGAGCCGUGCCCCUGGAUCUUGUACACCAGAAAAAGAGAUGCUUGCUGUACCAGCGUUUAUUUUUAUGUGCUUCUCCUCCUGCGCUGUAUUCUGCACGUACGGUACCCGAGGUUAAGUCAAGAGAGAAGAAAAAUAAUUAAAUCAUUUCUUUAAUUAUUCGAUAUUCAAGUUGAGGGUUUCUUUCUAAAUAAAUUUUCAAUUCGGAUAUUGGUUAUCCCAAAAAAAUUCAGCGUCUCCUUAAAAGAGUGAGAAUUAAUGCAUGUUUAGUUUAGGAAGAUUCUGGAAGCGUAAACAUGGACUUGUUCUUAGUGGCACGCAUCAUCCCGGCUUGGCCUCCAAGUUAACGAAUGGAGGGGUGCCAUCUAAGAGGUAUCGUCCAACACCAGAGCGGCUACUGGGUGGUUCCUGUUACUGGGUAAUUAAAACGAGAGCUCUUGGGGGACAGCUAGAAUCAUCGGUUGACAAGCAUGAUGUCAGGGCCGAGGUCUUAUGGCUCAUAAAUCACGCGACUGCGGUCUUGAGUAGAAAAAAAGGAAUUAGAGAACUAACGCGAGUGUGUCUUAGUUUUACUCGUGAAAUUAGGAGUCCUCUCUUGCUCUUUCCUUCUCAACAUUAAAAAGAGGCACACUGAAUUCGAGAGUGAGUGUACCUAGUAUGUGUGUUGAGUAAUAUAAGUUAUUACUCUGUACACAUGCAGGCUACGUCAGCUAUGUUUUCUGUUUUUAUGUUCUCCUAUUUCAGGUGACCGUGUGUAUGAGCCCCCUUACGUGGAUGUGUACGCGCUCCGGCACUUUUUCCUUUAUUAUGCUAUGUAUACGCAUUACAUAUGUAAUCUUGCUAAGAGUUUUAAAACAUAAGUGGCAUUAGCUAUUGGAAUUACAGUUUAGUUAAAAUCACGGUUUAGUUUUUGUACAAGUGAUGAAUGUGUUUACGGGAGAUCAAUUUUUUGUGAGACAUGUUCAAUGGUUACCUCAUCAGGUAAUUCGUAUGGUGGCGGAGAUUCUAAGCAAGCUGACGAACGUUUCCAGCUAUCGGCUCCUGGAAGUGGUAGACAUGCUUGACGAAAUUACGACUGUUACCGCCCUCCGAUUACCCUGUGUUUUAGAGAAUUUUUACAAUACUACGGAAAGGAUGAAUGCCGUCUGACUAAUUCGCCACGUCAAUGCCCGAAUUUCUUUCGAGGAUUAUAAUGCCCCAUAUUCAUACACGGGGGAUGUAGAGGGUAUUCGAGAGAUGGCUAGUGUAUUAACUCGGUUUCUUGAUUGAAUAAAGAAAUACAAGUUA